UACGUAGGGUGCAAGCGUUAAUCGGAAUUACUGGGCGUAAAGCGUGCGCAGGCGGUUUUGUAAGUCUGUCGUGAAAUCCCCGGGCUCAACCUGGGAAUUGCGAUGGAGACUGCAAGGCUAGAAUCUGGCAGAGGGGGGUAGAAUUCCACGUGUAGCAGUGAAAUGCGUAGAGAUGUGGAGGAACACCGAUGGCGAAGGCAGCCCCCUGGGUCAAGAUUGACGCUCAUGCACGAAAGGCGUGGGGAGCAAACAGGAUUAGAGUACC
rnacentral:rRNA from 1 species